AGGAUGUGAUGGGGAAGCCCUUCGGGGCGGAGUAGCUGAUUUCACACUGUCAAGAAAAGCUUCUAUCGAGUUUAAAGGCGCCCGUACCGUAAACCGACACAGGUGGGUGAGGAGAGUAUCCUAAGGCCAGCGAGAGAACUAUUGUUAAGGAACUCGGCAAAAUGACCCCGUAACUUAGGGAGAAGGGGUGCCUGUCUAUGACAGGCCGCAGAGAAUAGGCCCAAGCGACUGUUUACCAAAAACACAGGUUUCUGCUAAGUCGCAAGACGAUGUAUAGGAGCUGACGCCUGCCCGGUGCUGGAAGGUUAGGGGAUCUGUUAGAGCAAUCGAAGCAGUGAACUUAAGCCCCAGUAAACGGCGGCCGUAACCAUAACGGUCCUAAGGUAGCGAAAUUCCUUGUCGGGUAAGUUCCGACCCGCACGAAAGGCGUAACGAUUUGGGCACUGUCUCAACAAUAGACUCGGUGAAAUUGUAAUCCCGGUGAAGAUGCCGGGUACCUGCGACAGGACGGAAAGACCCCAUGGAGCUUUACUGUAGCUUGACGUUGGGUCUUGGUACUACAUGUACAGGAUAGGUGGGAGACUAUGAAGCAUGGACGCCAGUCUGUGUGGAGUCAUCCUUGGGAUACCACCCUUGUAGUACUGGGAUCCUAACCAUAGGCCUUGAAUCAGGUCUUGGAACACCGUCAGGUGGGCAGUUUGACUGGGGCGGUCGCCUCCUAAAAAGUAACGGAGGCGCUCAAAGGUUUCCUCAGCACGGUCGGAAAUCGUGCGAAGAGUGUAAAGGCAAAAGGAAGCUUGAUUGCAAGACAUACAGGUCGAGCAAGGACGAAAGUCGGACUUAGUGAUCCGGUGGUACCGCAUGGAAGGGCCAUCGCUCAACGGAUAAAAGCUACCCUGGGGAUAACAGGCUUAUCUCCCCCAAGAGUCCACAUCGACGGGGAGGUUUGGCACCUCGAUGUCGGCUCAUCACAUCCUGGGGCUGUAGUAGGUCCCAAGGGUUGGGCUGUUCGCCCAUUAAAGUGGUACGCGAGCUGGGUUCAGAACGUCGUGAGACAGUUCGGUCCCUAUCCGUCGCAGGCGUAGGAAAUUUGAGAAGACCUGUCCUUAGUACGAGAGGACCGGGAUGGACGUACCUCUGGUGUACCAGUUGUUCUGCCAAGGGCAUGGCUGGGUAGCUAUGUACGGAAUGGAUAAGCGCUGAAAGCAUCUAAGCGCGAAGCCAACUUCAAGAUAAGAUUUCCCACCGUAAGGGUAAGACCCCAGGAAGACUACCUGGUUGAUAGGUCGAAGGUAUAAGUGCAGUAAUGUAUUUAGCUUAUCGAUACUAAUAGGUCGAGGACUUGACCG
rnacentral:rRNA from 1 species